rnacentral:rRNA from 1 species
GGUUAAGUUAGAAAGGGCGCACGGUGAAUGCCUUGGCACUAGGAGCCGAUGAAGGACGGGACUAACACCGAUAUGCUUCGGGGAGCUGUAAGUGAGCUUUGAUCCGGAGAUUUCCGAAUGGGGAAACCCACUGUUCGUAAUGGAACAGUAUCUUUAUCUGAAUACAUAGGAUAUUGAAGGCAGACCCGGGGAACUGAAACAUCUAAGUACCCGGAGGAAGAGAAAGCAAAUGCGAUUUCCUGAGUAGCGGCGAGCGAAACGGAAUUAGCCCAAACCAAGAGGCUUGCCUCUUGGGGUUGUAGGACACUCUAUACGGAGUUACAAAGGAACGAAGUAAAUGAAGCGACCUGGAAAGGUCCGUCGAAGAAGGUAACAACCCUGUAAUUGAAACUUCGUUCCCUCUUGAGUGGAUCCUGAGUACGGCGGAACACGUGAAAUUCCGUCGGAAGCUGGGAGGACCAUCUCCCAAGGCUAAAUACUACCUAGUGACCGAUAGUGAACCAGUACCGUGAGGGAAAGGUGAAAAGCACCCCGGAAGGGGAGUGAAAGAGAUCCUGAAACCGUGUGCCUACAAGUAGUCAGAGCCCGUUAACGGGUGAUGGCGUGCCUUUUGUAGAAUGAACCGGCGAGUUACGAUCCCAUGCAAGGUUAAGCUGAUAAGGCGGAGCCGUAGCGAAAGCGAGUCUGAAUAGGGCGUUUAGUAUGUGGUUGUAGACCCGAAACCAGGUGAUCUACCCAUGUCCAGGGUGAAGUUCAGGUAACACUGAAUGGAGGCCCGAACCCACGCACGUUGAAAAGUGCGGGGAUGAGGUGUGGGUAGCGGAGAAAUUCCAAUCGAACCUGGAGAUAGCUGGUUCUCUCCGAAAUAGCUUUAGGGCUAGCCUCAUGUUGUGAGAGUCUUGGAGGUAGAGCACUGAUUGGACUAGGGGCCCCCAACGGGUUACCGAAUUCAGUCAAACUCCGAAUGCCAAAGACUUAUCCAUGGGAGUCAGACUGCGAGUGAUAAGAUCCGUAGUCAAAAGGGAAACAGCCCAGACCACCAGCUAAGGUCCCCAAGUAUACGUUAAGUGGAAAAGGAUGUGGAGUUGCUUAGACAACCAGGAUGUUGGCUUAGAAGCAGCCACCAUUUAAAGAGUGCGUAAUAGCUCACUGGUCGAGUGACUCUGCGCCGAAAAUGUACCGGGGCUAAACGUAUCACCGAAGCUGUGGAUUGACAUCUUUGAUGUCAGUGGUAGGAGAGCGUUCUAAGUGCAGCGAAGUCAGACCGUAAGGACUGGUGGAGCGCUUAGAAGUGAGAAUGCCGGUAUGAGUAGCGAAAGACAAGUGAGAAUCUUGUCCACCGAAUGCCUAAGGUUUCCUGAGGAAGGCUCGUCCGCUCAGGGUUAGUCGGGACCUAAGCCGAGGCUGAAAAGCGUAGGCGAUGGCCAACAGGUUGAUAUUCCUGUACCACCUCCCCGCCGUUUGAGUAAUGGGGGGACGCAGUAGGAUAGGGUAAGCGCGCUGCUGGAUAUGCGCGUUCAAGCAGUUAGGCUGAUGAGUAGGCAAAUCCGCUCAUCAUAAAGGCUGAGCUGUGAUGACGAGGGAAUUAUAGUACCGAAGUUCCUGAUUCCACACUGCCAAGAAAAGCCUCUAGCGAGGCGGGAGGUGCCCGUACCGCAAACCGACACAGGUAGGCGAGGAGAGAAUCCUAAGGUGAUCGAGAGAACUCUCGUUAAGGAACUCGGCAAAAUGACCCCGUAACUUCGGGAGAAGGGGUGCUCUGGUAGGGUGUAUAGCCCGAGAGAGCCGCAGUGAAUAGGCCCAGGCGACUGUUUAGCAAAAACACAGGUCUCUGCGAAGCCGCAAGGCGAAGUAUAGGGGCUGACGCCUGCCCGGUGCUGGAAGGUUAAGAGGAGGGGUUAUCCUUUGGGAGAAGCUCUGAAUCGAAGCCCCAGUAAACGGCGGCCGUAACUAUAACGGUCCUAAGGUAGCGAAAUUCCUUGUCGGGUAAGUUCCGACCCGCACGAAAGGCGUAACGAUCUGGGCACUGUCUCAACGAGAGACUCGGUGAAAUUAUAGUACCUGUGAAGAUGCAGGUUACCCGCGACAGGACGGAAAGACCCCGUGGAGCUUUACUGUAGCCUGAUAUUGAAUUUUGGUACAGCUUGUACAGGAUAGGUAGGAGCCUGAGAAGCCGGAGCGCUAGCUUCGGUGGAGGCGUCGGUGGGAUACUACCCUGGCUGUAUUGAAAUUCUAACCCGCGGCCCUGAUCGGGCCGGGAGACAGUGUCAGGUGGGCAGUUUGACUGGGGCGGUCGCCUCCUAAAAUGUAACGGAGGCGCCCAAAGGUUCCCUCAGAAUGGUUGGAAAUCAUUCGUAGAGUGUAAAGGCACAAGGGAGCUUGACUGCGAGACCUACAAGUCGAGCAGGGACGAAAGUCGGGCUUAGUGAUCCGGUGGUUCCGCAUGGAAGGGCCAUCGCUCAACGGAUAAAAGCUACCCCGGGGAUAACAGGCUUAUCUCCCCCAAGAGUCCACAUCGACGGGGAGGUUUGGCACCUCGAUGUCGGCUCAUCGCAUCCUGGGGCUGUAGUCGGUCCCAAGGGUUGGGCUGUUCGCCCAUUAAAGCGGUACGCGAGCUGGGUUCAGAACGUCGUGAGACAGUUCGGUCCCUAUCCGUCGUGGGCGUAGGAAAUUUGAGAGGAGCUGUCCUUAGUACGAGAGGACCGGGAUGGACACACCGCUGGUGUACCAGUUGUCUUGCCAAAGGCAUCGCUGGGUAGCUAUGUGUGGACGGGAUAAGUGCUGAAAGCAUCUAAGCAUGAAGCCCCCCUCAAGAUGAGAUUUCCCAUAGCGCAAGCUAGUAAGAUCCCUGAAAGAUGAUCAGGUUGAUAGGUCAGAGGUGGAAGCGUGGCGACAUGUGUAGCUGACUGAUACUAAUCGAUCGAGGACUUAACCAA